AGAGUUUGAUCCUGGCUCAGGAUGAACGCCGGCGGUGUGCCUAAUACAUGCAAGUCGUACGCACUGGCCCAACUGAUUGAUGGUGCUUGCACCUGAUUGACGAUGGAUCACCAGUGAGUGGCGGACGGGUGAGUAACACGUAGGUAACCUGCCCCGGAGCGGGGGAUAACAUUUGGAAACAGAUGCUAAUACCGCAUAACAACAAAAGCCACAUGGCUUUUGUUUGAAAGAUGGCCUUGGCUAUCACUCUGGGAUGGACCUGCGGUACAUUAGCUAGUUGGUAAGGUAACGGCUUACCAAGGCGAUGAUGCAUAGCCGAGUUGAGAGACUGAUCGGCCACAAUGGAACUGAGACACGGUCCAUACUCCUACGGGAGGCAGCAGUAGGGAAUCUUCCACAAUGGGCGCAAGCCUGAUGGAGCAACACCGCGUGAGUGAAGAAGGGUUUCGGCUCGUAAAGCUCUGUUGUUGGAGAAGAACGUGCGUGAGAGUAACUGUUCACGCAGUGACGGUAUCCAACCAGAAAGUCACGGCUAACUACGUGCCAGCAGCCGCGGUAAUACGUAGGUGGCAAGCGUUAUCCGGAUUUAUUGGGCGUAAAGCGAGCGCAGGCGGUUGCUUAGGUCUGAUGUGAAAGCCUUCGGCUUAACCGAAGAAGUGCAUCGGAAACCGGGCGACUUGAGUGCAGAAGAGGACAGUGGAACUCCAUGUGUAGCGGUGGAAUGCGUAGAUAUAUGGAAGAACACCAGUGGCGAAGGCGGCUGUCUGGUCUGCAACUGACGCUGAGGCUCGAAAGCAUGGGUAGCGAACAGGAUUAGAUACCCUGGUAGUCCAUACCGUAAACGAUGAGUGCUAGGUGUUGGAGGGUUUCCGCCCUUCAGUGCCGGAGCUAACGCAUUAAGCACUCCGCCUGGGGAGUACGACCGCAAGGUUGAAACUCAAAGGAAUUGACGGGGGCCCGCACAAGCGGUGGAGCAUGUGGUUUAAUUCGAAGCUACGCGAAGAACCUUACCAGGUCUUGACAUCUUGCGCUAACCUUAGAGAUAAGGCGUUCCCUUCGGGGACGCAAUGACAGGUGGUGCAUGGUCGUCGUCAGCUCGUGUCGUGAGAUGUUGGGUUAAGUCCCGCAACGAGCGCAACCCUUGUUACUAGUUGCCAGCAUUAAGUUAGGCACUCUAGUGAGACUGCCGGUGACAAACCGGAGGAAGGUGGGGACGACGUCAGAUCAUCAUGCCCCUUAUGACCUGGGCUACACACGUGCUACAAUGGACGGUACAACGAGUCGCAAGCUCGCGAGAGUAAGCUAAUCUCUAAAGCCGUUCUCAGUUCGGACUGUAGGCUGCAACUCGCCUACACGAAGUCGGAAUCGCUAGUAAUCGCGGAUCAGCAUGCCGCGGUGAAUACGUUCCCGGGCCUUGUACUCACCGCCCGUCA
rnacentral:rRNA from 1 species